AGUGAACGCUGGCGGUAGGCCUAACACAUGCAAGUCGAACGGCAGCACAGUAAGAGCUUGCUCUUACGGGUGGCGAGUGGCGGACGGGUGAGGAAUACAUCGGAAUCUACUUUUUCGUGGGGGAUAACGUAGGGAAACUUACGCUAAUACCGCAUACGACCUACGGGUGAAAGCAGGGAUCUUCGGACCUUGCGCGAUUGAAUGAGCCGAUGUCGGAUUAGCUAGUUGGCGGGGUAAAGGCCCACCAAGGCGACGAUCCGUAGCUGGUCUGAGAGGAUGAUCAGCCACACUGGAACUGAGACACGGUCCAGACUCCUACGGGGGGCAGCAGUGGGGAAUAUUGGACAAUGGGCGCAAGCCUGAUCCAGCCAUACCGCGUGGGUGAAGAAGGCCUUCGGGUUGUAAAGCCCUUUUGUUGGGAAAGAAAAGCAGCAGGUUAAUACCCCGCUGUUCUGACGGUACCCAAAGAAUAAGCACCGGCUAACUUCGUG
rnacentral:rRNA from 1 species